UCCUAAAAUAAAUAUAUUCCAGAAAGCUUUAAAACUACCCCUUUGUUGAUCUCAUAGCCAGGAGAAGUGAUGCAGAUGAGAUGUGUGAAGAGACAUGAGACACCCAAACCUGAAGAGAUGUGCAGGUUCAAGCACCCAUAGGUUUCAUUAUCCUUUAUCAUGCCCUUUGCCCAAGAUUGCAAUGUUUGAUGCAAGUGCUGGACUGUGCCUCUCACAAUAUGUCAACACAGUGUCAUGAUCCGGCCUGGUCAAUUUAGAGCCCGAUCCAUUGCUUGUUGCUUGUCGUGUUGUGGGUGUGCCAUGAUCCUUGCUACUCCACUCCUUGUCUUUCCUGGAACCUACUCUUCCUGAUUCUUAAACAUUCUACUUCAACGAGCUCCGCCCUUUAACUCCAUAUUGGUUACUCCCACUGCCCCCUACUAAAGAUGGCGUGGAUGACAACGCUUCGGUCUCACAGGAGUCUCAAUCGGCAGGAGAAGUCACUCUGUCCUUGCGGACGGAUUUUCCUCGGCUCAUUGAAGUGACCCAUUGAUCUCUCCAUGCCGCUACCUCUGCCAUAUCCCGCGCCCCUUGAUGACAUUCUGGCAACUAUAAGGUUGAGAAGCAUGUGGCGUGCUGCUGUGUGGCCCUACAGCUCCCUGGGGUCAUGACUUUGAUCCAGGAUUCCUUUUUCCCAGGCCCUCCUCUUUGCAGCGGUGGAAGACUGGCCUGAGGAGUUAAUGAAAGGGACCCCGACUGUGGAGGGUGGUCUACAGGCUUACCUCGACCCUUCCUCUUCUGCCAGACGGGAGGCAGAACGCGCCCGUGUCACCAGGAGGUCUGUGGUACGGACUCACCACCACCAUGGUGCCUCCAGUCGUACAGGCUGAUAAGUUGCAUAAAUCCGGGCCUCCAUCCAGAAUGUGUCGUCUGGAGUUUCCCAACACUGCCCAGCCCUUUUGAGACCAGAGUUGCCAACUGUCAAGGCUGACUUGGCGUGAGAAUCGAUCACAUUCUAGCCUCACCAUCCAUGACGCACAGAAGUCUAACCAGGAAGUCUCUGGUCGAAAGGACCGUCUUUGAUGUUACCUUCAGGUGACACUGACAUGCCUCUCAUGGUGAAAAAAAGGACACUGUUGCCUGCCCUGAUGAAGGUGGUGCUAAACUGUACAUUAUUCUUAGUUAUGCUAGUAUUAAAGCUUAGUCUGCC
ensembl:lncRNA